UACGUAGGGGGCAAGCGUUGUCCGGAAUCAUUGGGCGUAAAGCGCGUGUAGGCGGCUCGGUAAGUCUGCUGUGAAAGUCCAGGGCUCAACCCUGGGAUGCCGGUGGAUACUGUCGAGCUCGAGUCCGGAAGAGGCGAGUGGAAUUCCUGGUGUAGCGGUGAAAUGCGCAGAUAUCGAGGAGGAACACCGAUGGCGAAGGCAGCUCGCUGGGACGUGACUGACGCUGAGACGCGAAAGCGUGGGGAGCAAACAGG
rnacentral:rRNA from 1 species